GAAUGCACAUUGAUAUUGCAACGGAUAAAAGCACAGGUAUUAUGUCAAGAAGCUUAGCUGAAAUUCAAAACUUCCCCUCUCUCUCACUUGUCACCUCCGUCUCCUCCACGCUUGAGGUUCCCUCGGCGGUGGAGAUUUCUAUAAAUUAAAACCAAAGCCAUCACCAUCUUCCUCUUCUCGAGCUAACCAUGGAAAUGCCAUUAAUUUUUAUUGAAACCUAACCCAAUGCUCUAAUCGAACCAAUAUGUGGAAGAAUCCUAGGUUUUGAAUCCUAAAUUAAAUGAAGGUACGGAUGAAUUGGAGCCCAAAAGGUUGGGGCUCUGGUUCCCUAGCCUCUAACCUACAUACCAGUAACAAAAUUGAAGAGAAAUGAAGGAAAGGAUUGAGCAGCUUACCAAAGAAGUCGAAGUUGGAGACGACGACGGCGAGGGGAUUCAGGUAUGUUCAGAUUCGUUGAUUCUUCCUUCUGUUCUUCUUCUUUCUUCUUCUUCCCCUACAUGUUGAUGCGCGUCUUGAUGUGUGUGAGAUGAGAGUGGCUUAGCUCUUGUUGUUUCAGAGCUUCGAUGUGAGACUCUGAGCAACAAUGGAGGAGAACGAGCUUUACAAUGAGGUUGAGAGAGAGAAGUGAGAGAGAAGAGAGGGUGACUCAGUAGAAAUUUUGGGAGUGAUGAAUGAAUGAAACUCUAACUGAACUGUGAUGCUAGCUUUUAUAGACUCCAAUUCGGUUACAAAUUCACAUGAAAUUGAGUUAAAUGCAAAUUAAAAUUGAGAAGUUAGUUAUGGAAUGCAUUAGUUAGUUAGAACUCCAAAUGAAAUUCAAAUUGAAAUGAAAUUGAGAUGUAAAUUCAAAACUCUCCUUUCUCCUGCUUCCCAAAUUAGUUCUAUUAAGGAAACUGGAAAUUAAGGGCUCGUUUGAUUGAGUUUUGAUUUUCUAUUUUUAAAAAUGAUUUUAUAAAUCAGUUUUAAAAAAUUGUUUUUAAAAAAACUAAUGGAAUAAAAUCUGUUUGGUAGCUCUGUCUUUUAAUUGUUUUAAAUUUAAAAGUUAAAACUUGUUUGGAGAAAUUGUUUUUGGUUUCUAAAAUCUAAAAAUUGAAAAAUUUAUAGUUUUUAAAACUAUUUUAUAAAUCAAUUUUAGAAGAGUUUUGAAGAAAAACAAUAAAAUAAAACAGUGUGGUAAUUCUCUUUAAAUCAUUUUAAAAAGUGUACCACUUUUCUUGUUUUUUCCUCAUCAUAUUUCCAAAACUAAAAACCAAAAACCAAAACCUCUAAAACCUUUUUAGUUUUUUAGUUUUUAAUCUUCAAUAAGAGAAUAGUUUUCAAAAACAAUUUUAUAAAAUUAGACUACCAAACAAAUUUUCUUAUUUUCAAAUUUUAAAAACUAAAAAACAGUUUUACAAAAUCAAAUCAAACAGGCCCUAACUAUUCCAAUUAGAGUUUUGCACCAUUUAUUGAAUUUUGUUAAAUAAGGUGUUAUGUGAUUGUUUACUUAAUUGUUGUGUUAGAAAUUAUAAUUAAUUGUAAUCCUGAAUGUUUUUCCAUGGUAUUAUCAUUUGGUGUAGGUUAAAACUAAUAAAAUGUUGAAGUCCUUAGCUCAAUUAGGUUAGUGUUAGUUGUAUAAUGGAUUUUGAGUCGAUUUGAAACUGCAUUUGAAGUUGAUUUGAGAGUGAAUUUGAGGUUAGUCUUUGAUUGGAAUUAGAUUCAAUUUGGAAAAUGGACUGGUUUGUCCCUUUGGCUUGAAUUUGCAGUUAAAUGUUUUUUUGAAUUUACUGAACUUGAGUCAAACUGUCUUGCACUGCAGAAUAGUUCAAUGUAUUUAAACCAGUUUCUGCCCUGAAUUUGCAAUGCUAGGUCAAUGUUGAUGGGUUGAUUUUGGUAUGUGAUGAACCCUUGCCAUGUUUAUACUGUCAAUGCUGAUUUUCUGCUUAAUGUUAUGUAGGGCAGGUUGGAAUUUGGCUUCAUUUGAGAAUGGAUGCAUCAUUGGAUCAUAAAGGAUGACCAAAGUUCUUUCAUUUUGAAACUCAAUCUAAACACCAAGUCAUGUAAAUAGUAGGAUUCCAUGUGUUAGUAUAAUGUACGAUGCAAUGUUAUGUGUAAUAGUCAUAUAGUCAAUGCUCAUGUAUUAGUGUAAUGUUCAAUCAUUUAAUGAACUAAAGAUGUAUUUGAUUUUUGAAAAUGGUGAAUGCAAGGUUUUAUUCAAAUGCAAAUGUUCCAAAAUGUAUGAAAUACUUAUGUGAGAUACGUAUGAAAGGGAUACCAUGAUUUAUGCUUA
rnacentral:lncRNA from 1 species